rnacentral:rRNA from 1 species
UACGAAGGGUGCAAGCGUUGUUCGGAUUUAUUGGGCGUAAAGGGUGCGCAGGCGGAUUUUUAAGUCAGGUGUGAAAUCUCGGGGCUCAACCUCGAAAUUGCGCCUGAAACUGAUAAUCUUGAAUCUCAUAGGGGGUAGGGGAAUUUCUCAUGUAGGGGUAAAAUCCGUAGAGAUGAGAAGGAACACCAGAGGCGAAGGCGCCUACCUGGAUGAGUAUUGACGCUGAGGCACGAAAGCGUGGGGAGCAAACAGG